rnacentral:lncRNA from 1 species
AGCAGGGGGAGGGAAAGGCACCCGCAGGGAGAGCCAGGGCCCAGCUGGCAGGAGGAGGUGGGCUGUCAGAGAGCAGAGUCCUGAGAACAGACCACAAGGACCUGAGACACCAAGAAAACCCCUCAAGAUGAGUCAUGCUUCACCUGAACCAGCCCCAGGUGUGUUUACAAUAACCAGGAUAUCCUCCUAGUUCCACAGAAAGUCCACCAUCCUCAGUCUUUGUGAUCGGGGUGUCCAUUCUCCUGCCGACUUCUCAAACAACGGCUUGUAAACAAUUGCCAUUUUGGCCCAGUCCAAGGCUCAAGACAGCAAGGUGGUUUCUCUGAAAAGCAGCUCUGACUCCGUUUUAAAAUGGCUCCACUAAUGUCAAUUUUGACAUCUGGGAUUAUGUUUAUUUACCUACUUUUGUCUUUAUUGACUUGGUUAUCUCUCUAUUUCCCCUUGGGUGUCUACACUGGCCUAGAAUGUCUCCCCAGUGUCUAUGCUGUUUGAGAUUAUUCCCUCAGUCCGCUGUGUGUUUACACCAAUCUAGGAUGUUUCCUAGUUGUUCUCAUGUGUGAACACCGACUUCGAUGUCUCCUUUGUUCCCAUUCUAUGUCUACAC